GUGCUUGCUUCGGCAGCACAUAUACUAAAAUUGGAACAAUAAGAUUAGCAUGGCCCCUGUGCAAAGAUUACACGCAAAUUUGUGAAGUGUUCCAUAAAAAA
rnacentral:snRNA from 1 species